AGGACCCAUUCUCUAAUUCCUGGAAGUCCUUGAUGGGUAGACCCUCCCCACGUUUCAAAAGGUUUGCUAGUUGUUGGCAAAUUUGUAACCUCCCUAAAAAAAAACAAGUGAAUUUUGUGGAGAAAGAUGAAUUUUGCGUGACACAGCAACAAAACCCGCACCUAAAAGCAUCUCUCACAUGUUAUUGCACCUUUGUGUUUGUGGGGACUUGCCUUUUAUUGAAACAAAACUUGAAUAAUACGCACUCUCCCAUAUCAAAUAAAAAAACGGCAGCGUUUCAUGUGACUAGUGUGUUUAUUUACUGA